UGGGGUGUUGCUCAGGGGUAGAGCAUGUGCUUAGCAUGCAUGAGGUCCUGGGUUCUAUCCCCAGUACCUCCA
rnacentral:tRNA from 1 species